CUACGGGAGGCAGCAGUCGGGAAUUUUGGGCAAUGGGCGAAAGCCUGACCCAGCAACGCCGCGUGAAGGAUGAAGUAUUUCGGUAUGUAAACUUCGAAAGAAUAGGAAGAAUAAAUGACGGUACUAUUUAUAAGCUCCGGCUAACUACGUGCCAGCAGCCGCGGUAAUACGUAGGGAGCAAGCGUUGUUCGGAUUUACUGGGCGUAAAGGGCGCGUAGGCGGCGCGGUAAGUCACUUGUGAAAUCUCUGAGCUUAACUCAGAACGGCCAAGUGAUACUGCAGUGCUAGAGUGCAGAAAGGGCAAUCGGAAUUCUUGGUGUAGCGGUGAAAUGCGUAGAUAUCAAGAGGAACACCUGAGGUGAAGACGGGUUGCUGGGCUGACACUGACGCUGAGGCGCGAAAGCCAGGGGAGCAAACGGGAUUAGAAACCCUGGUAGUCC
rnacentral:rRNA from 1 species